rnacentral:lncRNA from 1 species
AGAUUACAAUUAGAAGCCAUACAUAUCAUCACAUGGUUAAAUAUAAAGAGAAACUACAUAUGGUAAGUAAUGAAAUGUAAGAAGGUAUGAUUAUCUUAUACUUGUCAUUCCUUUAAAAUCUCAUAUGCAUAUAACUUCGUACUACACCUGUAUUGCAUAAGCACAUAUUAAUAUUACAUCUUUUAUAUCACAUGAAUGGAAUAAAAUUUUCGAAGUUCUGUAUUUGAAAAUCAUAGUAGCAGUUAAUUGUUGAUAUGAUGCAUGUCAUGGUAACCAAGGAUAUUUUAUAUAAAUUGUCUUAUGCAUAUUUAUGUGUUAACUAUCUUCAAUCUGUCCUGCCGCUUUAAACAUUUUAUUUUAUUUGGAUGAAUAUUUUUUUUCCUUUUGGAUUUUUACACUUGCAUAUAGUACCAAAAAAAGGAAUAAAAAAUAAAAUAAAAUUAGACAUACUGAUUAAAAGCAUAAAUCAUCUUGAAGAAAACAAGAAAUAUUUCACAUCUUUAUCUAGGUUGAUUAAUUACUUCUUUGAUAUUUGGAAAACAAACCAGCUAUUGAGAAAGUAUAUUCAUAAUUUAUGGUCGUAUCAUUUGAAAACAAACAAUGAUUAGUAUGACUACUAUAAGAGGUAUUUUUGAGUAUCCAUGACCUACUUGAUGCUUGCUACUGACUUACCAUUUUUAAGUAUUUUAUAUAAAUGAUGCACAAGCUACAACUGGUAAGUUGUUACCUAUAAUGUCACUUUUCAGGUAAUAUAAAUGUUGAAUUUAUGUAUUAGUACUAUAUAUGUGUUGUUACCUAUAUGGUGUACUUUUGAUAAAUUUGUUCACUAAUUGCUUGGUUGAAUUGAGUGAAGGAAAGUCAUGGCGUUAAAUCAAAUCCAAUAGGUAGGGUAUACCCCGAAAACAACAAUAUUUUUGAGAGAGACUCAAUAAAUAUUAUGACAAUGAUUUUAUGAUCCUUUUAAACUCUAAUAGAAUUUAGAAGAAAUAUUCUGACUACAAACGGUUGUAUUUCAUAUAGAUGCUACAAAUAAUUAAUAAAACUUUACGCUGAUUUGAGAUUUGUACACUAAUUUAAGAAAGCAAAUUUGAUUUGCUAAGUUGCAAAUUAGUUGUGUAUAACUUUCUUGGCAUGUGAUUGAAAUUAAGGCUUGA